AGCAUUCGUUUUUUUCAUCCAAACGCAGCGAAACUUCGUCUUCUUCGUCUUCUUCGUCUUCGUCCCACAAAUCCCAAAUCGUGACUUCGAAAUCCCAAAUCAUGGCAUAAAACUCUUUGAAAUCCCAAAAUCCCAAAUCCCUAAAUCCCAAAUCACAGCAAACACAUAAAAUUCUUCUCUUUGAAACCCUAAAUUCCUAAAUCCCUAAAUCGUCUUCUUCGAUCUCUUUGAAACCCGAACCGUAUUCCUUCUCCCGCCCUCCGCCUCCGCCGCCGUCGCCGUCAGUUGAGCUUCCAUUAAUAUUCAAGUGAGGAGGACACCCCAAUUGGGGCUAUGCCUGGAUGCUACAGGCUUGGCUGGAGACAUGGACUUGUGGAAGAGAUUGCAAAAGCACGGGAUGUUGGUGUUAACAGUGUUGUGCUCUUCCCCAAAAUUCCAGAUGCUUUGAAGUCUCCCACAGGUGAUGAAGCAUUCAAUGAGAAUGGUUUAGUUCCUCGGACUAUACGGACGGUUACUCAAGGAUAAGUACCCAGAUCUUCUCAGCGAUAUGAUGGAUGGCCGGGUAGGAGCAAUGCGAUUAGCUCUCGAUGCUGAAGGCUUUCAGCACGUUUCUAUAAUGUCAUAUACAGCAAAGUAUGCAAGUUCAUUUUACGGCCCCUUUAGAGAAGCUUUGGACUCAAACCCCCGGUUCGGAGACAAGAAGACGCUGCACCAGCUGCUGAAGAAGAUGAUGAUGAUCUUGACCUCUUUGGUGAUGAAACAGAAGAGGAUAAGAAGGCAGCAGAGGAAAGAGAGGCUUCUAAGAAGCCCGCCAAGAAGAAAGAAAGAAUUGCGACUACGUUGGUAUGACAGGUCAAAAGUAAGCUGAUUUACUUGAGAUACAAGGUGAUAAUUGCCAACUUCUCUGCUUGAACUUUUUUUCAUUAUGUGAGUAAUAAAGUACCUAGUUACAAAACAUUUGAUUGAACAUCCAUUUGUAACACAAUCUAUCAGUUCCAGAGACUUCAUUUCAUAUUUAGGUUAAGUGUUUGGUUGAAUGUCAGCUUAUUCUGCUGCCUGAUUGAUUUUGCUCUACUAGCAAAUGCACUUUCUGAAUUGUUCCUCUAGUGACAAUAUGAAGGAGUUUUGUUUUAGCUGACUUGAAUACACGAGUAAUGUUUAUAAAUGAAUUGGCACAAAUACUUCUUGAUGUUA